rnacentral:rRNA from 1 species
UACGUAGGAUGCGAGCGUUAUUCGGAUUUAUUGGGCGUAAAGCGUGCGUAGGCGGCUGUUUAAGUCUGGUGUUAAAGCUAGGGGCUCAACCCCUGUGGUGCAUCGGAUACUGGGCAGCUUGAGUGCGGUAGGGGAAGGUGGAAUUCCGAGUGUAGCGGUGAAAUGCGUAGAUAUUCGGAAGAACACCGGUGGCGAAGGCGACCUUCUGGGCCGCAACUGACGCUGAGGCACGAAAGCCUGGGGAGCGAACGGG